UACGAAGGGGGCUAGCGUUGCUCGGAAUCACUGGGCGUAAAGGGUGCGUAGGCGGGUCUUUAAGUCAGGGGUGAAAUCCUGGAGCUCAACUCCAGAACUGCCUUCGAUACUGGGAAGCUUGAGUCCGGGAGAGGUGAGUGGAACUGCGAGUGUAGAGGUGAAAUUCGUAGAUAUUCGCAAGAACACCAGUGGCGAAGGCGGCUCACUGGCCCGGUACUGACGCUGAGGUGCGAAAGCGCGGGGAGCAAACAGG
rnacentral:rRNA from 1 species